UAAGGGGAAAGAACUCAUUAAUCUAAUGCAAACAUGGCGGCUAUCCGGGGAAGAUCAAGUUUUGUGUUUACAAAAAGAUUGUUUGUUCACUGUUGGUCACUUAAUGUAAGUGGGAAAAACUGAUUGGAUAAAGAUAAUAAACAGUCUGUAUAGUACAUGUGAAAUAGGAGACUCAUCUGAUUGUGGAAGUUUGUGUAGUUGAAAGAAGGAGUUACAUACAGAUGCUGUUUUGAAUCAUAAGAAAUGACUGAUAUUAAUUCAUUUCUUCAGUUCCUCAUUAGCUUCUUCACAAGGAAUAAAUUGUGUAAGGAGUUCUAUAUUCCUAUUUAAAGACCUAACUUUUUUUUCCAUUUGAGUGUAUGAAAGCAAAUUAAUUGAAUUCAUUCUGAAUACUGAGCUUAUAUAGUUUUAUGUACAUGUAUAUGUGACUUUAUCUUUAUUUGACUUUUUAUUUAUAAGUUAUUUAAACAUUAAUAAUUUUAUUCUUUGUAUGAGAAGCUAUAAUCAAUCGAC